UACAGAGGUCUCAAGCGUUGUUCGGAUUCAUUGGGCGUAAAGGGUGCGUAGGCGGCGCGGUAAGUCGGGCGUGAAAUCUCGGAGCUUAACUCCGAAACUGCAUUCGAUACUGCCGUGCUUGAGGACUGGAGAGGAGACUGGAAUUUACGGUGUAGCGGUGAAAUGCGUAGAUAUCGUAAGGAAGACCAGUGGCGAAGGCGGGUCUCUGGACAGUUCCUGACGCUGAAGCACGAAGGCCAGGGGAGCAAACGGG
rnacentral:rRNA from 1 species